CACACAACACAUGCACAUAAGUAUAAUGUGAAAUACAAAAAAAAAGAAAGAAAAAUUAACCAAAAGAAGAAAACAAAAAUUUCAGCAAACUUAAAGAAAUACAAAAAAAAAAGUUUUAAAAAAAAUUCUCCAUCGUCUUCGACCAUUAUACACCAGCAAUCGACCAGACGUUUGACGCUCACAUCGUCGGUCGACUUGCACACUUUCCGCCUUGAAAUGGUGUGCCUCCCUCCGUCCCACCGACGCCAUCAUCAUCAUCGUCGUUGUUGUCAAUGUUGGAUGUUGUUGGUGACUCGACGACCAAGACGACGACAGCGGCAAAGCGGCAACACCAAGAAGUAAGUGGCGACGCAACGGAAAUUCAUGUACGUGUGAGAAUUACCAGUUGGACUAUAAAAGCUAAAAUUCAUUUCGAACUCAAGUUUAUUCAAAUGUGAAGUGUGCGCAAGUCAACAUGGAUUCCUCCGGUGGCGGCAUCACAACGAACCAAAUGGAAAUCUAUAAUCCAUAUAAACCCUGCUACAAGGGGGCGUUUAUUUCAUUCUACUGGAUGGAUUUUUACACACAAUGGAUUAUAAAAGCAAACUCAAAAAGGCAAACUAUAUAGACGACGUCGAGACGUAAACAUCUUGUAACGCCACAAUCGAAACUAAAAGUCGUUUUUAUUUUUCGUCAUCUAUCGUAGUCCGCGUAGACCGCGAGAAAUUCCUAUUGUAGCUUUGUCUAGCUCUGAAGAAAAAAAAAAGUAGAUAAGCGAAAAAGGGGAAUGAAAAACGAACAAAAGACGAAUAGUUUUUUUUUUUCGAACUUCGAACUAGAAACGAGACGAAAGUGAGAGCGAAUCUAGUUGAAAUUUUAUAUAUGUAGUUUUGUUGGCGCGUGUGUGUGUUUAUUUCGUGUAGUGAUUUAGCCUUGAAAACGUUGGUUUUUUGUCUAUUUAUUGUUCUAAUGUCGGUCAGUGGGCGCACGAACUGUUUAGAAACUGUGUUUCUAGGAAAAGAGGCUUGCCGUUGAGCUUUUUUUUUUUUUUUCUUUAGUUAGUUCGAUCAUAGACAAACUUGUUUGUAUGAGUGUGAUCAUGAUCAUGAUGAUGAUGAUGAACUUGAACUUCUAAUUUUGAAUUAACAUUAUAAAUGCCGUUAUUUGUCAUUGUUAUCAUGUGGCAAGUUGUCGGCAACCGGCAACAGAGAUUAGAUGUGUUAGUUGUUUCUGACGUAGAAAGUGAAAGUGAGAGUGAAAUGGAAAUGGAAAUGAAUCUAUUUUUAGUCUUGGUUCGAAUCUAGCCUCUACUAGGCUUUGUCUGUUCGAAAUAUACGAAAGCUUUGCCUGUCAGACAUAGCCUAAAAGAGGUUAGGUGCAACCUGGAUAUCAACAACAACAACAACAACUUUAAUUGGAUUAUUCUUUUUUUUUUUGUUCGUUUUUGUUCUUUAAAUUUUUAUUUCAUUUAGAUUGAAGGUAAUACAAAAAAAAACUAGUUGGCAAGUGGCGAAGAUAAAGCAAACAAAGAGAAAUUAAUACAAAAAAAAUCUGCACUCGUGAAGAAUUUUAAGAUUAAAAAUAAACGAAAGAAAAAAAAAA